AACGGACUGGCGGCGAUGCGUUUACUACACUGCAAGUCGAACGGCGAGCGCGGGGCGAACCUGGCGGCGAGUGGCGAACGGGUGGAGUAAUAAUAAUCGGAACGUACCCGAACGAGUGGGGAGUAACGUAGCGAAAGUUACGCUAAUACCGCAUACGAUCUAAGGAUGAAAGCAGGGGAGUCUUCGGACCUUGUGCUCCUGGAGCGGCCGAUAUCUGAUUAGCUAGUUGGUGAGGUAAAGGCUCACCAAGGCCACGAUCAGUAGCUGGUCUGAGAGGACGACCAGCCACACUGGAACUGAGACACGGUCCAGACUCCUAUGGGAGGCAGCAGUGGGGAAUUUUGGACAAUGGGCGAAAGCCUGAUCCAGCAAUGCCGCGUGAGUGAAGAAGGCCUUCGGGUUGUAAAGCUCUUUUGUCAGGGAAGAAACGGUGAGGGCUAAUAUCCCUCGCUAAUGACGGUACCUGAAGAAUAAGCACCGGCUAACUACGUG
rnacentral:rRNA from 1 species